rnacentral:lncRNA from 1 species
CCCAUUUCAUUUCACCCCCAUCUCUCAUCCCCUUUAGAGAACCUCCCAUAACCCUAGCGUCGCCCCCAAAUCCUCCACCUUCUUCAGUGGUGAUGCCAGUUUCGUUCACCAUCAACUUCACUCCACGAAGCCUCCUCAGACUCCUCUUUCCAAAUCUGUAGAUAGCUUCUUGCGAACACCCUUAUAACGGUUCGAAUCUUAAUUUUUAGAUAUGAACUCUAGCAGCCACCACCAUUCACUCUAGCCUUCCGGUGACAGCCUCCUCCAAAAGCUCUCAAAUUAACAUCCUAGGAUCCCUUCCCAUCCCUGUUCUAUAAUCUCCAAGAAUUUUCCUUCAAAUCCAUUCUAAACCCCUCGAAUCUCACAUCCCAAAUCCGGGUUCAAAAAGUCAAACUUAAAACUUGAAAUUAGUGAUGAUGGUUCUAGUUUUAAGAGCUGGUUUCGUUACAAAUAAUGUUAUUCACUUGUUUGGUAAAAAAUAAGUGAUUACAUUAUUUGACGAUGAAAUCGGAAAGUAAGGGUAUCAGGAUUGAUUUCCAGUGUAGUCGGCGAGUUCUUUCAUGUUUAUUUGUUUAUCUGGUUAAUUAUUAUCCUAAUGUUCAUCUUCCUCAUUUCUUUUGUUUCUCGUCGAUUUCAAUUGAAAUUCGAUCCGUCUUAUGGUAUAAAUUAUUUCUUUUUAUUGUUUAUUUCUUUAGAUUGGUUUUGUGGAUUUGUUUUGUAUAAUUAGGGUAUCAUUUUUUUAAGACUGAAAUAUUAUCUCAUUUAAUUCACUUAGUUAGUUAAAUUAAGGAUUAGCUGGAAUUUGGUUAAUUCUUAUUUAAAUGCGUGUAAUAAUUGACUGAUUAAUAUAAGUUUAAUUCAAUUGUCACCUAACUUAGGAAGCUUCUCAAUAGUUGUAGGGUAAACAUUUUGUUGUUGAGUUAACUAAGGGCACUAAAUUAGUGGAUAAUUUAAGAAAUGUAAAAUAGAAUUGAAAGUGGUAAAUGCACUGAGUUGAACGCCUAUAUAUCGGUACCGAACUCAUACACAAAGUACACAUACAGUUUGGUACUGUAAAAUAUACAGGAUAUAUUUAGAAAUACAAAAAAAAUUGAAGAGAUUCUGAAAGAGCUGAAAAUUCCUAGAAAGUACAUUAUACUAAAAAGAAAUUUUACUGUUCUAUUGCAUCUUUGUCCUGAGUUUUGAAAGUUGUCUUUUAUAGUAUUUUCUGAGCUUUUUGGUAUUAAGGAAUGAGUUGAAUAUUGGUUUUCUGAAAAUACUGGUCCAAAGUUUCUGCAUCUGUACUGUUAUAUUGAUUCAUCCGGAGUUAAUCAUUGUUUUCCUAAUUGAAAAUCCAGGUUGUUCUUGUUGUUGUUGCUGCUGCAUUUUACUCCUUUUUAAUCUCAUUUCCAGGUGCUCCCUUUGAAUUAUACAGGAUGUUUGUCUCAUAUUGAAGAUGAAAUUGGAAAGUUUCUAGAACAUGGCAGCUGAACCUAUCCUGUUUGUUUAGAUUUUUCAGCAUGCUUAGUCGUUUGAUUCAAUAUAGCUGUUAAGAUUAUGUAUUAUUAUUAAAGUUUGAACUAUUGAGAAUAUGUUACUGAUAGAAUGUGGUAAAAGCCUAAUUUAAGAGUUAUCUUUUGAGUAUGUUGGAAUUGAGAGGUGUUAAGUUAAAUAUCUUUGUUAUUGUGCAAGUUACAUUUAUUGUGCUUUUGGACUUAGUGAUAUAUAUACCCCUUUACAUUAGGCCCUCUCGAUAGAGUCGUACCCAAGUUUUGUAGAAGCUAUCGGGUUACCCUAGCAUAGUUCACCCGUUAUUUUGGAGGAUAGAGUUGAUGAUAAGGUUCUUUGCAGAUAAAGUCGGGCUCGAGUUCACCCUCAGCCAUCUGUGUUACACUUAUGCUCCUUAUGCUCAUUCUGCAACCUUAUGCUCAUUCUGGUUUUCUUUCAGAUGGGCUUCAGAGCAACACUUAUUGGGAAUGGCCUCUGUACGAACUUCUUUGAAUCUACUCCCUUCAGAAUCGGGGGGUGCCCCAUGGAUCUAAUCAACCCUUCAGUUAUAAAUCUCAACCCUUUUAUUUUUAUCUUUGAUCUUCUUUUCACCAGAUUCGAUUCUUUUGGUAAGGUCCUCGAGCAUCUUCAUAACAGCGGGGUCUGUUGCUGACCCAUUAUUGCUCGAUCUCUUUGCACCUUCUCGACUCGAGGAGUUAUCUCCGGUGUUACAGUGCUUGGGGUUUUUUGGUAACUUUGUAGCUGAGCAAUAGCCACUUGUUGUUCUUACAACAUUUCAAAAAUGACUUGAAGACUAACAUCUCUCUCCUCACCGUGCACACUCCCGUCGGUAGGAGAACUUAUAUCGACAUGCACAACAUUCCGUGAGCUCACGUCGAUGAGGAUUUUUGCUGGUACUUCCCCUGGGUUUUGUGGUGGUACACCGGCAUCUACUGGUGCUAUCCCCGAGUUUUGUGGUG